GUAGGUCUGUCGCCAAGCGGUAAGGCAACGGGUUUUGAUCCCGUCAUACCUAGGUUCGAAUCCUAG
rnacentral:tRNA from 2 species